AUGAAUGUGACCUGGGGAAAGAGUGGGAAGGAUAUAACCACCGUAAACUUCCCACCUGCCCUGGCCUCUGGGGGACGGUACACCAUGAGCAGCCAGUUGACCCUGCCAGCUGUUGAGUGCCCAGAAGAAGAAUCCGUGAAAUGUUCCGUGCAAUAUGACUCUAACCCCGUCCAAGAAUUGGAUGUGAAGUGCUCUGAUAUUGGUCCUACUCUUCCUCCUACUCCUACUCCUCCUUCCUGCCAGCCUAGCCUGUCACUGCAGCGGCCAGCUCUUGAGGACCUGCUCCUGGGUUCAGAUGCCAGCCUCACAUGUACUCUGAAUGGCCUGAGAAAUCCUGAGGGAGCUGUCUUCACCUGGGAGCCCUCCACUGGGAAGGAUGCAGUGCAGAAGAAAGCUGUGCAGAAUUCGUGCGGCUGCUACAGUGUGUCCAGCGUCCUGCCUGGCUGUGCUGAGCGCUGGAACAGUGGCGCAUCAUUCAAGUGCACAGUUAGCCAUCCUGAGUCUGACACCUUAACUGGCACAAUUGCCAAAGUCACAGUGAACACCUUCCCACCCCAGGUCCACCUGCUACCGCCGCCGUCGGAGGAGCUGGCCCUGAAUGAGCUCGUGUCCCUGACAUGCCUGGUGCGAGGUUUCAACCCUAAAGAAGUGCUGGUGCGAUGGCUGCAUGGAAAUGAGGAGCUGUCCCCAGAAAGCUACCUAGUGUUUGAGCCCCUAAAGGAGCCAGGCGAGGGAGCCACCACCUACCUGGUGACAAGCGUGUUGCGUGUAUCAGCUGAAACCUGGAAACAGGGUGACCAGUACUCCUGCAUGGUGGGCCACGAGGCCUUGCCCAUGAACUUCACCCAGAAGACCAUCGACCGUCUGUCGGGUAAACCCACCAAUGUCAACGUGUCUGUGAUCAUGUCAGAGGGAGAUGGCAUCUGCUACUGA